rnacentral:rRNA from 1 species
GCAAGUAAAAGUCGUAACAAGGUCUCCGUUGGUGAACCAGCGGAGGGAUCUUACCGAGUUUACAACUCCCAAACCCUUAUGUGAACCGUACCUAUCGUUGCUUCGGCGGGAACGCCCCGGCGACCUGCGCCCGAUUCCAGACUGCCGCCGGAGACCCCAAACUCUUGUGUUUUUUUCUCUAUUCUCUGACUGGCAAACGCAAAAAUAAAUCAAAACUUUUAACAACGGAUCUCUUGGCUCUGGCAUCGAUGAAGAACGCUGCGAAAUGCGAUAAGUAAUGUGAAUUGCACAAUUCAGUGAAUCAUCAAAUCUUUGAACGCACCUUGCGCCCGUUAGCAUUCUAACAGGCAUGCCUGUCCGAGCGUCAUUUCAACCCUCAGGGUCCCCGUUCCGGCGGGGAACCUGGUGUUGGGGAUCGCCCCGCCCCGUGCGGCGCCGUCCCCCAAAUGCAGAGGCGGACUCCCUGCCGACUCCUCAGUUUAUCAGUCACAACCUCGCAUCUUAUCUCAUAGAGUUCGCCCCGAAAUACCCCCGACUUUCUGAACGUUGACCUCGGAUCAGGUAGGAAUACUGACUAAAUGACAUAUCAUGUAUAUUGCUGAUA